rnacentral:pre_miRNA from 1 species
GGACUACUCCCUUCGUUCCGAAUUACUUGUUGCGGGUAUGGAUGUAUCUAGAUGUAUUUUAGUUCUAGAUACAUCCAUUUCUGCGACGAGUAAUUUAGAACGGAGGGAGUACUGA